UCCCCAAGGGGAGGGACGGAAGGAGGAACCAGGCUGUGCAGAAGUCAAAGCACCGCAGAGCCGAGGGCCGGGGGAGGGAGAGGAGGAGACGAGCUGGCCGGGAAGGACGGCUCUGCCGAGCUCCGGAGAAAAUGGUUUGAGUAAUUAUCAACGCCUGUCGCUACGUGGCCAGGAAGAUGAGAGCCUUGUGCCAGCGGGAGCAGCAGGAGCCAGCCCCCCGCCCAGCCCCCUGCCCAGCCCCCCGCAGCCCCCGCCGAAAUGUAAAGGCAGAGGUAUCAGCAGCCCCUCAAGCACAAGCCUCGCUUCCCAGGAACCGUGAUCCCACCCAAGACCAGCCCUGCAGAUCCUGAGGGUAAAAGCCCUUGUGGUCCUCCCCUGAAGGCCAUGAGCUUUCUCCCCACCAGUUUCUCCAGGGUAUCGUUUUGCUGGGAAUCCUGCAGCCCAGGGAUUGGAAAGUAGCAGCAAAUCCCUCUUGUAUCUGCUCUCAACACAGACACACAACAAUAUAAAACAUCUCAUCAGUCUCUCGUUACCAGAAUUUUCUAGCUGGCAGGAAAACAAAAGGAUUGCUUAUGUGUCUCAGAUGCUCCUGGCAACCUUGGGCCAUGGAGCACCAGGGGAUGAGAUGAGCCAUUACAUCCUAGCAGUAAAUUGGAUUUUUUUAUACUGUGAAACCAAAUUGUGCCCCCAGUGAUCCUGCUAAAGGUUCAGACAAUUUCUAUGCAGGUAAAAGCGGCUCCUGAGCUUGAGUAAAGAGCCUUAGAGCUGAGGUCUGUGGAAAUCCCACCAUGUUUUGUAAAAGCCCCUUUGCUGGUGAGCCUGUCCUGACCGGUUGGCCAGCAAGCCCUGAGCAGAGGGCUGCAGGGGCCACAGCCAGCCCCCCCUCCAGCAAACCCCACACUGUCACAGAGCAAUGACAGCAGAGUCACAAACCCCGCACACACGGGGAGGAACCUGCCCGACCCCUUCCUGUGACAGCCCAAGCUGAACCAGAAAUAAAACAUGGAUGAAAAGAG